rnacentral:rRNA from 1 species
AGAAUCAGCGCUGGCGGCGUGCCUAACACAUGCAAGUCGAACGCGAAAGGGGAGCAAUCCCUGAGUAGAGUGGCAAACGGGUGAGUAACACGUGGGUGACCUGCCUUCGAGUGGGGGAUAACGUUCCGAAAGGAACGCUAAUACCGCAUGACAUCCUGCUUUUGGACAAGCGGAGAUCAAAGCUGGGGAUUCGCAAGAACCUAGCGCUUGAAGAGGGGCCCGCGCCUGAUUAGCUAGUUGGUGAGGUAACAGCUCACCAAGGCUACGAUC